rnacentral:rRNA from 1 species
UACGUAGGGGGCUAGCGUUGUCCGGAAUCAUUGGGCGUAAAGAGCGUGUAGGCGGCCCGGUAAGUCCGCUGUGAAAGUCGGGGGGCUCAACCCUCGAAUGCCGGUGGAUACUGUCGGGCUAGAGUGCGGAAGAGGCGAGUGGAAUCCUGGUGGUAGCGGUGAAAUGCGCAGAUAUCAGGAGGAACACCGAUUGCGAAGGCAGCUCGCUGGGACGUCACUGACGCUGAGACGCGAAAGCGUGGGGAGCAAACAGG